CCUACGGGAGGCAGCAGUGGGGAAUAUUGGGCAAUGGGCGCAAGCCUGACCCAGCAAUGCCGCGUGAAGGAAGAAGGCUUUCGGGUUGUAAACUUCUUUGACAGGGGAAGAGCAGAAGACGGUACCCUGAAAACAAGCCACGGCUAACUACGUGCCAGCAGCCGCGGUAAUACGUAGGGGGCAAGCGUUAUCCGGAUUUACUGGGUGUAAAGGGAGCGCAGGCGGUAUGGCAAGUCAGAUGUGAAAACCCAGGGCCCAACCCUGGGACUGCAUUUGAAACUGCCAUACUGGAGUGCCGGAGAGGUAAGUGGAAUUCCUAGUGUAGCGGUGAAAUGCGUAGAUAUUAGGAGGAACACCAGUGGCGAAGGCGGCUUACUGGACGGUAACUGACGCUGAGGCUCGAAAGCGUGGGGAGCAAACAGGAUUAGAUACCCCAGUAGUC
rnacentral:rRNA from 1 species